GACGAACGCUGGCGGCGUGCUUAACACAUGCAAGUCGAACGAAGAGCGAUGGAAGCUUGCUUCUAUCAAUCUUAGUGGCAAACGGGUGAGUAACGCGUAAUCAACCUGCCCUUCAGAGGGGGACAACAGUUGGAAACGACUGCUAAUACCGCAUACGAUCUAACCUCGGCAUCGAGGAUGGAUGAAAGGUGGCCUCUAUUUAUAAGCUAUCACUGAAGGAGGGGAUUGCGUCUGAUUAGUUAGUUGGAGGGGUAACGGCCCACCAAGGCGAUGAUCAGUAGCCGGUCUGAGAGGAUGAACGGCCACAUUGGGACUGAGACACGGCCCAGACUCCUACGGGAGGCAGCAGUGGGGAAUCUUCCGCAAUGGACGAAAGUCUGACGGAGCAACGCCGCGUGAGUGAUGACGGCCUUCGGGUUGUAAAGCUCUGUUAAUCGGGACGAAAGGCCUUCUUGCGAACAGUUAGAAGG
rnacentral:rRNA from 1 species